CCUGAGUACAUGGACUGCAGUUGUUGAUGGAUUUUCUGCAUGUCUGGAAGACAGAAAAAGCGUCUUGGAUCAUGGUGUGGGGUGUGAGAUUGACAGGAUCUCCGAGAGGACAGUCGCUUCCAGAGCACUUCAGAAGCCAGUGAUUUCUCAGUCCUCCACUCUUCUCCCCUUCCCUAUCUGUGGUCUCCAGUGUGAUCACCUAGAAAAAGAGCUUUGGAACCAUAUAGACCAAGCUCAAAUCCAGUUCUCUACCACUUCGCAGGUGUGGAGCCUCAAGCAAGGUACCCAGGCUCCUACAAUCCCUAAACCAGGGAUGAUGACUCCCGCAGAGUGUAUGUGAAGCUCCAGACACAUGGACCAUCUCCACCUGGCAGGAGUCAUUAUUUCUCACAAAUGACUCUCUCCAUUGCUCUGAGACACCAAAACCAGUUGAAACCAGAAUGACAGCCCUGCCCACAUUUUUUUUUAAUGUGAAAGAUGAAAGGUCCUCAUUUCUUGUUCUGAUAGCUUCCUGCCACACACUGAAGUCUCCUCAAGGACACGUCUUUUACUGCAUGCAGCUUCACAGUCAGCUCCUCAAGCAGAAGACUGAACCGUGACUUGUUUUUAGAAGCUCUCCGGUUGGACUUGCUGUUCAUUUGAGAGGAAGCUGCUGACCACAGAGUUCAGCAAAAGAAUGGGAGUAUGGAGGCUCAAAGUGUGGCCCCUGGAGAAGCUGAAUGAGAAGUAGCCCUGGAUAUGGUGUAGACUCCCACAAACCAGAGAUCCUGCCCUCAGUGCCUCAGCUUUAGGAAGCUGCUCCCUGCCUUGCUCCUGGGCAGACAGGUAUGGUAUUGAUUUCCCCAUACCCCAGCAUCCCCACCCCAGUUUCCCUCUCUUCCCCCAUUGCCCGGUGCUUUGGCUGGCAUGCCCCUGACAACCAGGGAGGGCAAGUCCUUCUCCUGGUGGGUAGCCGGCUGGCUUCCUCCCAGCUCAGAGCCAAGCAUGCCUCAAUUAGGUACGCCCUAGGAUGGGAAGUCCUUCCAGGGGCCUUUCCUCAAAAGCCGGCCAGAAGUGGGCUCCUUCAAGCCUAAAGUUAAGCCGAUGGAGUAUGCAGGGUGGAGACGUGAAGGAAGGCCACACCACCUUCUGGUGGCAACUCCGCCUGGCCCACGUUUUGCCGCUUUUCCUCUUUCCCUGUCAACCACACCACGUGAGGCCUCUUUCCCAGCAAACCAAAGCUCCCUCUGG
rnacentral:lncRNA from 10 species